AUGGGGGAAAAGCCUUCCCCACACACUAUGUAGAUGUCACAACUGAUCAAACCAAUCUAUGAGCCCUAUGUAAAUCAGACACCGCCUCCCCAAACUGUAUUAUAAAAUGGCGCAUUAGCACCAACCGUUACUUUUUUCUGCUAGGAGACCCUCUUUGGAGUUUUCUCAACAUGAGGAAGCUUUUUCUCUCUCUUUUCUUCUUUUUCUCUCUCUUUUCUUCUUUUUCUCUCUCUUUUCUUCUUUUUCUGUUAAACGUUCUCCUCCAAAACCCACUCCUCAUGUGUGUCCGUGUCCUGAAUUCCUUCCGCACUGAGACCAAGAGCCAGGAUUAAAAACAAAUAACAGAGGCACUGAGAGAGACAAUUUACAGAGCCAGUUGAAGAUGAUCCCUGCAAAGGCUACUCCAGACUUUCUAAGAUGGAAAUCAAAAUAGAUUGUGGCAUUCAACUGAGAUCACUGGGGAAAUACAAGGAAAUACCAUGGACUCUGAUUACAACUUCUAUGAGGACAUAGGACCAAUUCUCCUGACUUCAGAGAAAGAUGUGAAACCUGUGGAUACAAAGGGCUGAUUGUACUUCUUUUAACCUGAGUGCAUACAAAAAUGCUGUUUUAAGCACUUUCUAAGAACAAGCAGAGAUCCCUGGAACAAAAAGAAUUACAAAGCAUAAAAGCUUUCAGCCGAAAAGAGGAACGGAAAAGAUGCCAACUUGUAUGGAGAUGUGGAAGUGAGAAAACCUUUGAUCAGUACUUCAUUAGAGUAUUCAAGAGGAAGAAACUUGGAAGCUGAUGGAAAAAUCAAGCAGCCUAGCAUAAUCGUAAGCUUUACAUGCUCUUUUCAAAGGGUUUAUUUAUUUAUUGAAUUUUUUUUCAAUUCUCUUGUUUGUUAAUUUCCAUUUUGAUUCUAAGUCUAUUGGUCAAUCAGUGCUGAAAAUAAAAUGGGACCAUGUGACCUGAGAGUAUUCUGCCUUAUGAGUAUAUGGGUACUGUAUGACAAAGUCAGGCUUAAUGGUGAGGGUGAAGGGAUGAGAGAAUUGUAGGUGAAGGAGAAGAACACAGGAGUCGAACACUGACAAUGAUAUCAAAUCACUACUCGGAAAUUAUUUUGCUGGAAUAUAGUGAGAGUGAGUAUCCAAAACCCUGUGGAUUAGGUAUUAUACCAGCCUCUACCCUCUGGCCUUCAAGGGUUUCCAUAAUUUUUACUAUAAUAGCCUGAGCUAUCACUCCAUUUCUGACAAAAUUAAAGAUUGCUUAGUCAAACUAACUCUAAGGAAAGAUAAA